GUGCUCACUUCAGCAGCACCUAUACUGAAACUGGGAUGACACAGAGAAGAUUAGUGUGGCCUCUGCCCAAGGGUGACAUGCAAAUUCGUGACGUGUUCCAUAUUAAA